AUGGAUCAACUAAUGGAAAGAUAUUACAUAGCUAUUCACCUUGCUACUGUCAUGUCAAUCAAAUAUAGGUUUCCCACGUCAUGGAGUUGUCCUCGUUUUUUACCCAUGCCGAUAGACCCUGUAGUCAUUUGCUCCUCCCCCACUGCUCUAAUGUUCAAGGUCCUCCUAUACACUCGCUUCUCGCAUUCUUUCAAGUCAUUUGAAACUCCAGGAGUUGGCAUAUACUUUCAAGCUAAAAUUGAUACUCGGUUAUGUUACAUGAAAAUGCCAUCCAUUCUUCAUGCUUGUUUAAUGCACAGUUGUUAG
rnacentral:rRNA from 1 species